GGGGGUAUAGAUCAGUGGUAGAUCGCUUCAUUUGCAUUCGUGUAUUGAAGAGGUCCUGGGUUCAAUCCCCAGUGCCUCCA
rnacentral:tRNA from 1 species